rnacentral:rRNA from 1 species
CAAGCGGUGGAGCAUGUGGUUCAAUUCGACGCAACGCGAAGAACCUUACCUGGGCUCGAACAGCUUUGGAUCGACGGUGGAAACACUGUUUUCCCGCAAGGGACCGGAGUCGAGGUGCUGCAUGGCUGUCGUCAGCUCGUGUCGUGAGAUGUUGGGUUAAGUCCCGCAACGAGCGCAACCCUUGUCCUGUGUUGCCACUCCGCAAGGAAGCACUCUCAGGAGACCGCCAGCGAUAAGUUGGAGGAAGGUGGGGAUGAUGUCAAGUCAUCAUGGCCUUUAUGUCCAGGGCUACACACGUGCUACAAUGGGCGGUACAAAGCGCUGCAAACCCGCGAGGGGGAGCUAAUCGCAAAAAACCGUCCUCAGUUCGGAUUGCAGGCUGCAACUCGCCUGCAUGAAGCUGGAAUCGCUAGUAAUGCCGUAUCAGAAUGAUGGCGUGAAUACGUUCCCGGGGCCUUGUACACACC